CACAGUGUGAUCCCAAACAGGAGCCUAUGUUCUGUGUCCAGAGGAUGGUCCAGGAGAUCAUUUUACCUUCUUUAACCUCCUUCUGGGGUGAAGGAAGUGCAAUAAGGGAAAGCUACUUGGCACUGAAGCAAUUAAGUGGGAAAUUAAGUAUUCUUAAGGCCAAAAUGACUGGGGCAUCCAGAGUGCAGGUCAAAAAAGCAAGCCUGCCCUGGUAAGUCAGGGAGAGCUGCCUCCAGUGCUGCUCAGGGUGAGUCUGCAUGGUUUGUGAUAGUUCAAUGGCAUUGAUUUUCCCAUUUUCCCAAGGUCUUUUCUCUUCCCAUGGCUAUGAGUGCUCGACCCAUAGGGCUGUGCUCAUCCACACCAUGUGCAUUUAUUGCAGAGCUGUUUGUGACAAAGGCAGAUUCCAGCAGCCAGGAGCUGUGCUGGGCCGUGGUGUUGUUAUGGGAAACUGCUGAAACAUUGUCUGUUCCCACAUGGAAAUCUCUUUCAGAAGCAGAUUGCACUGUUGUAUUUUAGACUGUGGUGCCUGCUCACAUUAUCCCUCACUGACGUACAGUGAUGAUGCAUAUGUUGGAUCUCACAAUGCUGAGAGAAUUAACACUUUGUGAGUGUUUACCUCCCCCAUUAUUGAUGUUCUGUCAGUAGCAGUGUGCUCAUAUUCUCUGCAGAGAAACUAAAGGCACUGAUAAAAAUCACUGAGCUUCUCUUCUCAUCUAAAUCUCCAGAAGGUGAAAAGCAUGAAGCUGUGUUUCUUAUCCAAAGAGAGCAUGAUCAGAUUAUGCUGCGCAGAGCCCCGGCUGCUCCCACUGCGCGUUGCUGGAGUGCUCAGCACACCUUCGGGGAGAUUAUUGUUCCAAAAGGGGCUAAACACAACUCCUGCCUGUCGGUGCUUCUGGAACAUUUUCUUCUCCCUUUAUCUCUCCUUUUCCCAGAGGAUGCUGUGCUUUGAUGUCUCCGUAACACAGAUCACACUGACACUGAGAGGGAGAGGCGAUGGGCUGCUUGUGCAGUAAAUGGGAAGAUGAACAAACCGUGUGUGACACCUCCCACGUCUCUCGGUGCUGCAGUUCGCUCUGGAGUCCAUCACUGCUGGGUGGGAAGGAAAGACAGGACGCUUUCACACCCCGCUCUCAUUAGCUGUGUGUGCGUGUGUUGCUCUUUUCUCCAGCACUUCUUUCCCUUCUCACAGCAAAACCAUAGGACAGGAAAGGAACACUGUUGGAUUCUAACCUGGGCCUUUAUACACGAAAUCAUUGUAUUCCAAAAAUCGUAUCCCAGGGGCUAAAUAAUAGGAUAGAAACAAUGUUUGCAUGAAAUCCAAAAUCAACACAAGAAAGGAAGUGUUUGCAAUUGCAGUACCCCACCCAAGACAGCCCAGACUAUCCCAGUAUUGCACUGGAAAUGCUAUUUAUUCACACCACCAUAUAACUGCCUUCAGUCAGCAUUACAGGCCUGUCAUUUUCUAAGUGUAUAAUGUAUGGUAAAUACAGGCCUCUGACAGCACAGAAAGAUACAAAAGCCAAGGGUGGGAGGAAGUACAUGCUGCUCUGGCCCAUUUCACAUGCCAGGAGGAGGCAUUUGGAAAAACCUUUGCUGUUCUCACCACAGCACAUCCCUGCACUGACACCCAUGGUACCUGUGCCUGUGCUGUGGUGGGUUGGACUUGAAUUUGCAUCUCCCAGCUAUCCUACACAGAGUGCAGAAUUAUCAUUUGUAACCUAAAAUUCCCACUGAAAUCUUCCUUGGGUAAUCAUUUCUGUGCCCUCUGCCCCUCUGCCCUAACCCAAGUCAGAGGUGCCACGGAGCCGCGGCACGGUGACAGCUCCCGGCUGAAGGAGCGAGCGUGCUGGGGAGCACAGCGAGCUGCUCUGAGUCAAACACGGAGCUCGGACGCUGCUGGGCUGACUGCUUUGAUUUCACUCUACAGCAGAAAGUGCUUGUGGGAACGAAAACAUCCAGCAGGUGCUGAAACCUCAUUCUGAAGUGUGGGAUUUGGAGCUGACACCGACGGGAUGCAAGGCCAGGCUCUGCCCCGGGCUGGGAGGGUCUGUGCAGCUCCCGGCCUGACCUCACACCAGUGUAACGAGUCAUCAGUUCCUCAUUUUCAUCCUGAACAGGGGGACGAUCCCGGGCUGUGCCUGUCUCUCGUUUGGACAGCAAGUGAUAACUGAAUCUGACAUGAUGACACAAUUUCAUAGCUCAUAGGCCCUGGGAACAGAGACUUCUUGUUGGCCAUCCUGCCUGAGAGACCAUUCAAAAAUAAU